CGGCAACUUCGUGGAGGGGCAGUGUGUACGACGCCUAUGACCACGCCUGCAACAUCUGUCUUGAGGCCUUCUGUGACAGUUACAAGCUGCAAGCAUGAUUUGCAUCUCCAGUGCAUCCUUGAGUGGUGAGGACCAUGCUUUCUUGCCUUUGCAAUUUGACCAAAAGUUCUGUAACCAUUCGACAAGGUGAGAUCUCCUAUUCUCCCCGUACUGUUUUCUCUUUUGGCUGAUGUGAUUUUACUCUGUUUGUGGGAGUGGGAGUGGUGUUACUUUGCAACCAUGAAUAGUGAAGUACAUGGCUUCAUGUCUUGGAUAGUUUUCACUUUAGAUUUAGAUGGCAUUGGUUGUGUGCGAUAAUGUUGUCGCUUGGUGGUUUUGAUAGGAUAGUGCCUCAUCCUAUAGGACAUGCUUAGACCAUCUGAAUAUUUUUUUGCGGACAACACACUUGCACCAUGAUUUAUAAGAUUUUCUAUCUCACAUGUUGGCCUGAGGGAUUCACUAUCUUCAGUGAGGCCAAUCAUUUUGUCUAAAUGGUGGUGUUACAUCAAAAUUUACAUGUACUGCAUCACAUUAUAGUGUCUUUUUUAGCCUUGUAGGUAUAUUAGAUAAGUAUAUCUAAGAAAUGGUCGAUGUUUUAUGAUGAUUGGUUCGUGUUGUGGAGCUACUGCGAAUGAUCAUACGAACCAAGUCAACCAUAAUUUUUUUUGUUCUGGUUUGGAUACUAAAGGUUGUUUGUAUAUGAAAAGAAAAUAUGCUUCCAGGAAUGUAUACACCAACUACAGUCCUCCACACAAAAACAUGUUGCCAUGAUUCCAUUCAACCAAAUUCUAAAUGAUAAAAUAUUAUAUAGGUAUUUAAAUUCAAAAUCUUGUUGGUAGCUUACCAAGCUGACCGCUUGAUUAAAUUCGAGUGGAACAAAGUUUGCAUCAUUUCGUGCCGAUUUUAUUUAAUCAACAGUGUUCAUAAUUUCAUCUGUCAUAUGUUUGUUUGCUACUUCCAUGCCUUGCUCCGGUAAUUAGCAAGACUGCUCCUAAUUUGACACUUUUUAGAAUAGAUACAGCUGCUUCGAAUUAUGAGGAAUCUUUAGUUAAUGUUAAAGAAACUAAGUAAAAAUUUAGGAUGAUGUUAAUUCCUAUGUUUUUGUAGGAUAUUGGCUCACUAAAUUACUUACCUUGAAUAUACUAAUAAAUAUAACAUGUUUGUAGUUGUUAGUAAUUAAUUUCACCCAUGUAAUAAUCCAUUUUCCAAAGGCUAAAUGUUUUAUCUUUCAUACUGUUGGUGUGUGACAGCUUCAGACGGCAUGGGCGAGCUUUCAUUUAUUCAUGGAUCUAGCACAAAUGUUUGAGGUUGUUCUGCUCUUGGGGUUUCUAGCUUCUUAUGUAGAUAGGUCGUAUUAUGGCCCUUUGGAGUUUAGGUGCGGGUAAUUAGAUACCUGCAGCAAUUGUAUGGGUUUGUCGUUGUAGAUUACAACUACACCACCAUGAUGACCUAUCGAGAACUUGCUCGCUCUGCGGUUAUUCUUGCCGCGUCCGUCUGCUGCUGCCGCUGGCUGCUGCGCCGCUGCUGGUUGCCUUGCCUGCAGCUGCUCAGCUGUUCUGCUAGGCGCUGCUACUGUUGCCCCUGUUUUUUCAGUUUAGUCAUGUAACACCCAUGUGCUGGUAUAUUUCAUUCCCUUGUGAAAUUAAUCGUUUAUGUGUAUGAAAGUUUUUAGAAUAUCACAAAAAUGUUCAGUUUUAGUGUCCAGUUCACUGCCAAUUCUCUUCCUGCUUUUGUCGUGACCAUGCAAAUCAAUUAUCUUGUGGAUUGACUAUGCCUUGCUUACCUUGCAUUGGGUUUAUUUUGCUAUUUGUGAUAUAGUAAACUCAUCUAUCAUGGAUGGUUACUUUGAUUUUUUAGAUGUAAACAGUUUCUCAAACCUUCCUACUAACUUGACUAUUACCUGCUUAAUUACUACGUUUGGACCGGCACCUUCGCACCAAGGCGCACAACCGGCUCACCGCAAGUACACCUACGCCGCCGCUUCCCCGGGGGGCUGCAAGGUGAAGUGGACGGCCGAGGAGAAGCCGCACGGGGCUGGGCUCUCAAGUGGGAGGCGGAGCUUGCCUCCCCCCAAUGACGUCAGCUUUGAUCACAAGUGGAAGUUGGAGCCCAAGUCCAAGCCCGGUGCCGCCAACAAGGCCAAGACCAAGCUCGAGGAAGCCAACGAGGAUGACAGGAAUAAGCCGGCGAUGAAGUGCACGCACAUCGAGGAGGUCCUCGCCGGUUGCGACGCCAUCCACAAGGAUGAUGACUAUCUAAUGGUGAUUCCCUAUUCCCACAUUUUUUGCCCUCAUGUUGCAAGCUCUAAAGCUGCCCCUGUAAUUUACCAUCACAAGACAUGUCUGGGCAGCAAGUCUCCUGUGACGAUUACUCUUAAUUCGUCGUUAUAAUUGUUUGAUGGUUUGCUUGUUCCAACCUCGCUAUCUGCCUUUAGAUUCCCGUUGUUGUCUUUGUAGUGGAAGGUACCACUUGGUGGUAUGUUGCUAUUUUCACUUUGUUCUGAACAAGGCAUGUAUAGAUUUCAGAUUUUAAUUCCUAUCUCUUUGUCGUAAAAAGUAAUGUAUGGUCCUGUGUUU